UGAUAGUAUUUAUCGAAAUGUCGCUUUGUUUAAUACGGUUGUCUGCGGCUCUGCUGCUUUUCGCUUUGGGCGUCACUGCCAACCAAACAGUUGAUUGGUGGGAGGCCGCCACACUUUAUCAGAUUUAUCCGCGUUCCUUUAUGGACAGCGAUGGCGAUGGUAUAGGCGAUUUGAAUGGCAUCAUCUCGCGGCUGGCAUAUCUUAAGGAAAUUGGUGUAACAGCAACCUGGAUAUCACCUAUAUAUGAUUCACCAAUGGCUGAUAUGGGCUAUGACAUCCGGAAUUUUACGAAAAUUUCUCCAAUUUUUGGUACAAUGGAGGAUUUCGAUAAUAUGUUGGCCAAGGCGCAUGAAUUGGGCUUAAAGCUGAUCCUAGAUUUUGUGCCAAAUCAUUCAAGCGAUGAGUGUGAGUGGUUUCAGAAAUCGGUUAGUCGCGAAGAAGGCUACGAUGAUUGGUAUGUGUGGUCUGAUGGCAAAAUUGACCCAAAGACGGGUGAGCGUUCAGUACCAAGCAAUUGGACGUCAGCUUUCGGUGGUUCCGCAUGGACAUGGGUUGAAGAACGACAACAGUACUAUCUGCACCAGUUUCACGUGAAGCAACCUGAUUUUAACUUCACUAAUCCCGCGGUGCGUGAGCGUAUGUUGGAAGUGAUGAAAUUUUGGCUCGAUCGUGGUGUAGAUGGUUUCCGCAUGGAUGCCACGAACUUCUUAAUUGAAAAACGUUUCGAUAAUGGCACAUUUCCAGAUAAUCCUAUCAGGCCUGGAACGGUUGACACUUUAAUGGGCAACUACACCCUAGAUCAAUGGGGAAGUACAGAAAUUAUAUACGAGUGGCGCGCAUUCCUAGAUGAAUAUCUGAAACUUAAUGGUGGAGAUACACGAGUUAUGGUUAUCGAGGCGUAUUCCCCUGUUGACGUUCUUAGUAAAUAUAUCUCUAAUGGCACCAACGUCGGCGGGCAGAUGCCAAUGAAUUUUAAUUUUGUGAGACUGCGCGAAAACUCCACAGCGGAGACCAUUGAAACACAAGCUAACGCGUGGAUGGAUGUCAUUUGGGUCAAACAUAAAAUGGCGAAUUGGGUGGCAAACAAUCAUGACAACCGUCGCUUACCAACACGUAUGGGUCAGACCAAAGUGGAUGCAAUGGCUAUGAUCAUACAUGCACUGCCCGGUACAUCGGUUACUUAUUACGGCGAAGAGAUCGGAAUGCCUGAUUAUGCCGCCGCUUGCACCGGAAACUCUUGCGACUUCCGUGACCCCGAACGGACACCAAUGCAGUGGGAUUCUUCGAAAAACGCCGGUUUCAGCACAGGCAACUCAACUUGGCUGGCCGUCAAUCCCAACUAUAAGGACCUAAAUGUACAAGUUCAAGAAGGCGUGGCGCGUAGCAGCUUACAGAUAUUCAAGGGCAUGACGGCGCUUAAGAAAACGGGUGCCUUCAAGGCAUUCAAGGAAGAGGGCGGCUUCUCUUAUAAAGCUCUGUCAGAGCAGGUUUUCCAGGUUGUUAGAACCGCGGUCGAUCGCGAGGAAUAUCGUGUGCUUGCCAAUAUAGGCAACCAAACAGAGCAUUUCGAUGGUUUGACUAACAAAACAAUGGAGUACGUGUUGCUUAACUCUUAUUCACCAAACAGCUACGGUGACAAGGUUGAUUUAAGCGGAACAAUUUAUUUGCAGCCUUAUGAGGCAGUCGUUCUAGGAUGGUCGAGUGGCGAUAAUUGAACCAAAACUAAAAAAAGUCAACACUUUGGCCAUUUUAAAAAUGGCGGAAAAGUUAGACAUCAUUAAUGAAUACAUAAAACAUAUAUAGUGAGUUCAAAAAGUGUUCACGUUAUACAAAAUUUUACUUUUCUCAUUGAAUUUCAUCCAAAUAUGACAAUAUUUGAAGAAAAAUUUUUUGCUGUUAUAUGGCAUCGACAUUCUAGUUUUGAAAGCCCACUUCAGUAGACUUCCUUGUUUAUUUAAAUUUGAAUAAAUACAGUUCAAAAUCCGUAAGCGCUCGUGAACCCUUUCUGAGCUGAUGUGACGCUGUAUGUAACUAAUUUCGUUGUUACCAAAUAGUGGUUAGCACUUUUUAAUAAUUUUAUUGUGCGAAGGAUUUCACAUUUACUAAGACGGGACUAAAAAACUGAACCUCAUUUUUUAAAAAGCUGUAUGUUCGGACUUGCAGGAGGGGGUUUCAGUUAGAGAGAUUGCUCGAAAGCAUAAAAUUUCAAUUGGUGUCAUCAGUAAAAUAAAAAAAAACAAACAACAACAAAAAAAACAAUAUUAACACACCACCAAAAAAAUUUAGGCAGACCUAAAAAGUCACUCCUGAAACAGAAAGGACUUUACGGCGUUUUAUCAUGACUGAUGCAGCUAAAAACGCGGAGGAAGCUAAGGAAGUGUUAUUGUCGUCUUUAGGCACUAGAGCAUGCAACAAUACCAUUCGAACUUCGUUGAAAAGAUUUAAAAUGCGUGCAAGAGCAAUGAUUAAAACCGUACAUGUCAGCGAAGAACAAAGCGGCUAGAAUGAAAUUUGCGAAAGAGCACAAAAACUGGAGAAGCGAACAGUUGAAACUAGUAAUUUGGUCUGACGAAACGAAAAUUGAUCAUAUUAAUUUAUAUAGACGCAUUUGGACAUGGUAUGACAAGCAAUGCGGUCCCACGGAUAGGAAUAUGCUGCGCACACUUAAAUUCGGAGGUGGUUCACUUAUGAUGUGGGGUUGUUUCUGUGGCAGAAAGGUAAGAAAACUGCGUCAAAUUAACGGAAUAAUAGAGGCUACGGACUAUAUUAGCAUUCUAGAGGAUUCACUUAUCCCUAGCUUCGAGAUUUUUGGAUGUGAACCUGGUGCUUUGUUACACAUGUAAGACAAUGACCCUAAACAUACCGCCCGUAUUAAAAAAUCUUUGUUGAAAAAUAACGGAAUUCGGGUGGUGGAGUGGCCAGCUCAGUCACCCGAUAUGAAUCCUAUUGAAAAUUUAUAGGCGAUUGUUAAAAAACGGUUAAUUGUUCAAAGAGAAACACCAAAACCCAUAGAUGAACUCUGGACUCAAGUUGAACGAGUUUGGAACAGCUUUUUUCCGGAAAUUAACUCUAAAUCUGACCGUAUUAAAGUCGUAAAAGUCACUUUACCUCUAAGUUUAAAUAAUGUUCACAUGAAUUGUAUUACUUUAUAUCUACUAUAGCCACAAGAGAUUAUUAAAUGAACUGCUAGUUGAUGUUAAAAA